CGUGGACCAUGUUGGCCAGGCUGGUCUCGAACUCCUGACCUCAAGUGAUCCGCCCACCUUGGCCUUCCAAAGUGCUAGGAUUACAGGCAUGAGCCACCACCUGGCCACCCUGUGUAUCUGGAGACAGCUGCCAAGUCUAAAUUUGCAGAGGUAAGGGAAGGAGAAGCCUUGACCCAGUGGCCCCCGCUCGCCCUGCCUGCUGGGGAGAUGGGGAGCUCCUAGGACAGGGGCUGGGUCCUCAAGACGUGGCACGAGGAAGGGGGUCGCAUUAAGCCCCCAGCGGCUCCCGCACUGCGCACCCCUGGGGCGUCCCUCUGCCAGCCUCAACCCAGCCCCCUCCUAGCCGACGGGCGGUGGCAGUCUCCGUGAUAUCUUUCCGUCCCGCCGGCAGGCGGCGCCCUCCGGCCCUUGUUUCGUCGGGCCCGGACGGGGCGUGCGCGCUCAAAGGUUGCCCGGCUCUGUCGCCCGCAUUUCCUGGCCUGAAGCCCGCUGAGCCACAGCGGGGUCGCCGCGGGGUCCCGGGGCCGUGCUCCCCCGCCCCUCCCAGGAGCGCGCGGGGUGGGGCGGAACCAGGCCGGCACGCUGGGCCCUCGCCCUUCCCUCGGGCAGUCACCUGGGCACGGGCGCCGCAGGUGCCGGGCCCUCAACCUUGCGGAGCCGACAGCCGUCGAUCCUCGGGUGGCCUCGAGGUGGUGGCAGGGCCGCCCCCUGCAGUCCGGAGGCGAACGCACUUACCCGACCUCCGGAGGCAGGUUCGCCUGGGAGGAACCGCUCCGGCUUCGUCCUACACUUGCGCAAAUGUCUCCGAGCUUACUCACAUAGCAUUUUGGUGUAUCAAAAUGAAAUGCAAGGAACCAAAAAUAACAUAA
rnacentral:lncRNA from 1 species